rnacentral:rRNA from 1 species
CCUACGGGUGGCAGCAGUGGGGAAUAUUGCACAAUGGGGGAAACUCUGAUGCAGCGACGCCGCGUGAGUGAAGACGUAUUUCGGUAUGUAAAGCUCUAUCAGCAGGGAAGAAAAUGACGGUACCUGAUUAAGAAGCUCCGGCUAAUUACGUGCCAGCAGCCGCGGUAAUACGGAGGGGGCAAGCGUUAUCCGGAUUUACUGGGUGUAAAGGGAGCGUAGGCGGCUGGACAAGUCUGGAGUGAAAUGCCGGGGCUUAACCCCAGAAUUGCAUUUGAAACUGUGCAGCUUGAGUACAGUAGAGGUAGGCGGAAUUCGUGGUGUAGCGGUGAAAUGCUUAGAUAUUAGGAAGAACACCGAUUGCGAAGGCAGCUUACUGGACUGUAACUGACAUUGAGGCUCGAAAGCGUGGGGAGCAAACAGGAUUAGAUACCCUGGUAGUC